rnacentral:rRNA from 1 species
GACGAACGCUGGCGGCGUGCUUAACACAUGCAAGUCGAACGGAAAGGCCCUGCUUGCCGGGUACUCGAGUGGCGAACGGGUGAGUAACACGUGGGUGAUCUGCCCUGCACUUCGGGAUAAGCCUGGGAAACUGGGUCUAAUACCGGAUAGGAGCCAUUUUUAGUGUGAUGGUUGGAAAGUUUUUUUCGGUGUAGGAUGAGCUCGCGGCCUAUCAGCUUGUUGGUGGGGUAAUGGCCUACCAAGGCGGCGACGGGUAGCCGGCCUGAGAGGGUGGACGGCCACAUUGGGACUGAGAUACGGCCCAGACUCCUACGGGAGGCAGCAGUGGGGAAUAUUGCACAAUGGGCGCAAGCCUGAUGCAGCGACGCCGCGUGGGGGAGGACGGCCUUCGGGUUGUAAACUCCUUUCGCUAGGGACGAAGCUUUUUGUGACGGUACCUAGAGAAGAAGCACCGGCUAACUACGUG